UACGUAGGGGGCGAGCGUUGUCCGGAUUCAUUGGGCGUAAAGAGCUCGUAGGCGGUCUGUCGCGUCGGCUGUGAAAUCCCGAGGCUCAACCUCGGGUCUGCAGUCGAUACGGGCAAACUGGAGUACUGCAGGGGAGACUGGAAUUCCUGGUGUAGCGGUGAAAUGCGCAGAUAUCAGGAGGAACACCGGUGGCGAAGGCGGGUCUCUGGGCAGUAACUGACGCUGAGGAGCGAAAGCGUGGGGAGCGAACAGG
rnacentral:rRNA from 1 species